rnacentral:rRNA from 1 species
UACGAAGGGGGCUAGCGUUGCUCGGAAUCACUGGGCGUAAAGGGUGCGUAGGCGGGUCUUUUAAGUCAGGGGUGAAAUCCUGGAGCUCAACUCCAGAACUGCCUUUGAUACUGAGGAUCUUGAGUUCGGGAGAGGCGAGUGGAACUGCGAGUGUAGAGGUGAAAUUCGUAGAUAUUCGCAAGAACACCAGUGGCGAAGGCGGCUCACUGGCCCGGUACUGACGCUGAGGUGCGAAAGCGUGGGGAGCAAACAGGG